ensembl:lncRNA
CCAUGGAGAUCAGCUCUGCGGCUGCGCCCGGAAAUUCCAGGAGGCCUGGGGGGAAGGCUGGAAUGUGGCGCUUUAGUUUGCACGGAAGUCGCUGAAUUGAAAGGGGGAGCGGGACACCCCGGCAGGGAGCCCGGACCCGCCUACAGUCUGGCGGUGGAGGCGCUGGGCGCCCGGGGGUGGAGGCUGAGGACGCGGCGCGGGGGGCCGUUCAGGAGCCCCUGGAUGGAGCCACGGCUGACCCCGGGGAGAGACGCCCUGCACAGGGGAAGGGGCUCCUCUCCGCCUCUGACUUCUCCUCGGUGUGUGCCUCUCCGCCCCACACCCCACUUGCUCUCCCUUUCUCUGUCCGUCUCUGCAGCUCCGUCUCCCAUCUCUCUCCCACCCUAUCUCCAUUUCUUUAAUGCUCUCUCUCUCUGUCUCUCUCUUUCUCUCUGGGUGCCUGUCUCUCCCUCUUUCUCUGUGUGUGUGUCUAUCUCUCUGUGUCACUCUCUGUCUCUGUGUGUCUCUCUCUCUGUCCCUCUCUCUCAUCUCUGUGUCUCUCUGUCUCUAUGUCUCUCCCUCUCUCUCUGUCUCUCCGUCUCUCUCUGUGUCUCUCUCCCUCUGUGUCUCUGUAUCUCUCUCUCUUUGUCUCUCUGUUUCUCUCUGUGUCUCUCUGUGUCUCUGUGUCUCUCUCUCUCUCUCUGUCUGUCCCUCUCUCUUUCUGUCCCUCUGCUGAGGCUCUCUUUCUCUCCCUCUCUCUGUCUCUCUCUCUCUGUGUCUCUCUCUGUUCUCUGUCUGUCUCUCUCUCUCUGUCUGUCCCUCUCUCUCUCCACCUCUCUCCCUCUCUCUCUGUCUCCAUCUCUUUAACACUCUGUCUCUCCCUCUCUCUGACUCUCCUUAUCUCUGUCUCUCAGACUCUCUGUGUCUGUCUCUUUCACUUUCUCUUUCUCAGGUCUGAGUUAACUUGCCCCCAAAACAAUCCUGAAACAGUCCUGAAUCCUCCAUGCACGGAAGUCAUUCCUCUCAAGUUCUUCGGAGUAAUUCAGUGAACGCUUAAAUACAGGAUAAGAGACAGUCCCCAACUGCAUAGUAUUCACCAAAGGGGGAAAAAAAAAAAAAGGAUAAAACCCUCUGCCUGCCAUCCAUCUGAGGAUGGAGCUAGAUUACAAAGCAGUCUCACGCUGUGUGAUGAAAUGGUGCUAAUAAAGGCGUGUGCUCCUGCAGGAGAGCUGGGAGGAACCCUCUGCUUGAAGGAAUCGCCAUUAAUUACAUUUCCCUACUUCUAUGCCAGCACAGAUACUAU